UUUAAUGAGAGUUUGAUCCUGGCUCAGGACGAACGCUGGCGGCGUGCCUAAUACAUGCAAGUAGAACGCUGAAGAGAGGAGCUUGCUCUUCUUGGAUGAGUUGCGAACGGGUGAGUAACGCGUAGGUAACCUGCCUGGUAGCGGGGGAUAACUAUUGGAAACGAUAGCUAAUACCGCAUAAAAUUGAUUAUUGCAUGAUAAUUAAUUGAAAGAUGCAACUGCAUCACUACCAGAUGGACCUGCGUUGUAUUAGCUAGUUGGUGAGGUAACGGCUCACCAAGGCGACGAUACAUAGCCGACCUGAGAGGGUGAUCGGCCACACUGGGACUGAGACACGGC
rnacentral:rRNA from 1 species